GCUCUGGCUGGGCGGUCCACCAAUUGGCUGGUACUGCCUCGGCUGGGGCUCACCUUCUGGUGAUCCGUGAUGCCCUUAAUUGGGUGUUGCGAGGAGCCAGGACUUUUACCUUGAAAAAAUUAGAGUGUUUAAAGCAGGCCCACGCUUGAAUACAUUAGCAUGGAAUAAUAAGAUAGGACGUUGGUUCUAUUUUGUUGGUUUUCAGGACCAAUGUC
rnacentral:rRNA from 1 species